rnacentral:rRNA from 1 species
GACGUAGGGCGCGAGCGUUGUCCGGAUUUAUUGGGCGUAAAGAGCUCGUAGGCGGCUUGUUGUCGUCGACCGUGAAAACCCGUGGCUUAACUGCGGGCUUGCGGUCGAUACGGGCGGGCUGGAGUUCGGUAGGGGAGACUGGAAUUCCUGGUGUAGCGGUGAAAUGCGCAGAUAUCAGGAGGAACACCGGUGGCGAAGGCGGGUCUCUGGGCCGAUACUGACGCUGAGGAGCGAAAGCGUGGGGAGCGAACAGG